UACAGAGGGUGCAAACGUUGCUCGGAAUUACUGGGCGUAAAGCGCGUGUAGGUGGCUUGUUAAGUCGGGUGUGAAGUCCCUCGGCUCAACCGAGGAAGUGCAUUCGAUACUGGCAAGCUCGAGUACCGGAGAGGGUCGUGGAAUUCCUGGUGUAGAGGUGAAAUUCGUAGAUAUCAGGAGGAACACCGGCGGCGAAGGCGGCGACCUGGACGAGUACUGACACUCAGACGCGAAAGCGUGGGGAGCAAACAGG
rnacentral:rRNA from 1 species